CCAGGAGAUCAUAUAAAUAAAUAGCCAACUAGUACAGAAGUCCUGAUUGGGCCGUCGAGGCCACCAUGAUAUCUAUACCAAAACUAAAAAUAGGUAUAUAUCAAUACAAUACAUCAAACAACUCACAAGCUUCAGCAAACCAACAACAUAGGUCAAUAUGGUCAUAACGUAGCUAUACACCCCACACACUAGUCUGCAAGCCUCUAAG
rnacentral:lncRNA from 1 species